GAUGAAGAACGUAGUGAAAUGCGAUAAGUAAUGUGAAUUGCAGAAUUCAGUGAAUCAUCGAAUCUUUGAACGCACAUUGCGCCCCUUGGUAUUCCGAUGGGCAUGCCUGUUCGAGCGUCAUUAUAACCCCUCAAGCUCAGCUUGGUGUUGGGGCCUGCUGCACUGGCAGCCCUUAAAAUCAGUGGCGGCGCCAUCUGGCUCUAAGCGUAGUAAUUCUUCUCGCUAUGGAGUCCUGGUGGAUGCUUGCCAUCAACCCCCAAUUUUUCUAUGGUUGACCUCGGAUCAGGUAGGGAUACCCGCUGAACUUAAGCAUAUCAAUAAGCGGAGGA
rnacentral:misc_RNA from 1 species